rnacentral:misc_RNA from 1 species
ACAUACACUACCCGCGUGCCCAGUAGCGUUAUCACGUUUCGAGACAUCCCCUGUGUAAUGUGGGCGGGCCCACAUUACACAGGUACAUCCGCCAGCACACGGGGAGACGGAGGGCAGAGAGCGGCUCUUCUCUAUUGCCGUGGGCUGCACUGCGUUGUGCUCUUGCUUAUGAUCGUUCACGGUUAGCUCCUUUUCAUCAUCGUGGACGGCCUGUGACUCUCGGGACGCACCAUCAGAAACGCAGGGCAACAGCCGCAGCAGGCAACAACCACAGCAGCUGCGCAGAAAGCUAUACAAACGUUGGCGACACCCUCGCCUGAAACGCCUCCUGACGACGGCGUCAGGCACCUCCACGCUCUACGCGUAGACACAAGCACAAGUAACCUUCCUUGCGAGGGCUCUCACGCGCCUUAGCCUCUUUCUCGCCCCUUACUUCCCUUUCCCUAUGUCGCAAAGGAGCAGGAUUUGUCUCGUCGUCGUCUGCUUCAGUUUUCUUCUUCACGUUGUCGGAGGUAUGUCACUCAGGUCUCAAUCUCCUCUCCAAGGACACUCGGGUGCACGUAACGCGCAAUCGUUCUGGCCACCGCUUCCCUCUCUCCAUCUGUCUUCCUAUCUUCUCCUUUUUUCAUGAUUUUUUUUUUACUUCCUUUUGUUUCUGUCGCGCUCCGUUGCCUUUAG